UUAAGUUCAGCGGGUAUUCCUACCUGAUCCGAGGUCAACCUAUAAAAAUUGGGGUGUUUUACGGCAGGGGACCGGCCCGCGCUACAGGCGACGUGUAAAAGCUACUACGUCUGGAGUGCGAACCGGCUCCGCCACUGACUUUGGGGAGCUACCAGAGAGUUCCGGUAGGCUCCUAACGCUAAGCAACAGGGGCUUAAGGG
rnacentral:misc_RNA from 1 species